rnacentral:lncRNA from 1 species
AUUUAAUAUACUAUAAGAGAGCCCUAUCAGGUUUGAUGAUGUUCUCCUUAAAUCCUUCAUUUUUUGUUUCUGCUCGUAAAAUUGUUUCCCUGCACUUCCAAUUUUAAAAAUUUGUGCACGAGCUAAUAGCCUUGCAAUCCUUUCUCAGUGGGCAGCUAUGGCUACCCGUGCACGAACAAUCUCAUAAACUUUUGCUAAAAUAUAUUGAAGCUUAACAACAAUUUUGAGGAGAAUGGACCAGAAUUGGCAACUGGUUGUAUACAGCAUAACAUGAUCAAUUAAUUAUUAUUUAUCACUCUGGAGAAUAAUCUGAUUAUUAUUUCAAGGCCCAAAAGAAAUUUAAAUAUUUUGGCAUUGAAUGCACCAGGGGGGAUAUCUGAGAAACUCAGUUUUAUAAAAUUAUCCUAAUUAUUUAGAAAUCAUAUUAUCUACAGUAUCUACUUUAUUUCUAUCUGAAGGUAUUUUCAUAUCAUACUUUGGCUACUUAAACCACUUCUUGAAAUUAUGUGAAAAAGUAAAAAUGUAGGGAUUUAUGACAAAUCCUCCACGGUAAGAAUAACUGUUUGAUAUCAGUUGAAUAUUUAAAGUAACUUAAAACAAUCUAAGUCCAUGUUUGCCUCCAUAUUUUAAAACUCAUUUCCAAUGUUUUAUGAAAACUACAAUUUUUAUUAUCUUUUCAAUUACAUAUUUUAUCAAUUUUUAUCAAAAUCUACUAAAUAUUUAACUAAACCAAAUAGGGACUAAGAUUCAUAAUUAAAAGAGUCAAAAUAUACGAGAUCACUCAGUCCGAAGUGGCCAAACACAUGAAAGGCAAGGCACAGCCUGUCACAGGCCGUGCCAUGUGCCAACUCACCUCUAUUAUCCGACUUUGUAGUAAAGAUCCGCAACAAUAUGAACUACUAUUAUAAAAAAAUAUAGAAUGUUAAAUUCUCGUCCACACAAAAAAUAUUAAGUUUAUAAUGCGAAGAUUUUAGACCUGUCCACCCACCUAUAAAAAUGAGCUCGUGGUCAAGGGCCGCCACAGAAUUUGGUCGUGGUCGUGCCCAUUUAUUGGGAUCGAGUGUGCACCUCAAUUUAUAGAAUAUCAAAUAUGUACUCAGCUAUAAAUAACCAAUUUCUUAAAAGUUUACGAAUUUUCUGCCAUGAUAGGACCGCACGGAGAGAAAAAGAAAAUGGAGAAAAACAGAAUGGAAGCUUCCUCUUCGUGUCCUCUAGCCACUGUAGAAGAAAUUAAAAAACGCCUCAUUCGACCUCCAAAUUCUCAACGGCAAUAUUAAUAUUUGUUAAAAUUAUUUAUGUGCAAAUGUGCAAUCAUAUAUAACUUUUAGCUUUGCAGUUAGAUAAUUUUGAAUUUUUAUUUUUUUCUGUUUUUCAUCAGGCGUGAUAGGAUUAGCCAGAGCUCAUCACAAUUGAAUGUGAGUUCGCUGAAAAUUCAAGAAAUUAAAUUGAUGAGAGAAAUAUCAACCAAGAAGCUCGAGGAUUAUCUAGAUCCCGUAGUUCUCUCUGCAGUUCGUGUGAAAAUUGGAGGCAAAAGAAAAUUCGAUGAAGAGAAGAAAAUUAAGAGCGGAAAUUCGAACGAGUUUGAACAAUUUGAGAAGUGGUCUAAAGAGGAAAAAUUACCGAAAUCUGAGCAGAAUGAAGCCGUUGAUCUGCAAAACGAUAGCGAUUGGGUUGGGGAUUCUGAUGGAGAUGAAGGAAUUUUCUGCAAUCCAUUUCUGCAAUUUGAGAAAACGGCGUUGAAGCGGUUCAACCGUCAAGGAGUGAAGGAUAAGCAACGUGGGUGCGUAGGACAAGUUCCCGAUAGGAGUGAACUGUGAAGUAGUAACAGAAAUUUGACAAUUUUGAUGGUAAAUUGAAGGGAAAUAUAUGUUGAAGAACUAAUUGCUGUAGAAUUACAAAAUUGACG